UGUGAGGUGCUGUUUCAAAAAAAAAAAAGAAAAGAAAAGUCAGGUCACUCCAGUCGUUUUCUUUGGGGCUUAAUUCUCUCUCUCUUAAGUAAGGCUGCUCUUGCCACGGGUCCUUUGCAUGUGCUCUUCAGACUGCUGGAAUGCUGCUCCCUCAGCACUUCUCUGGGUAAUGCCUGUUCACUCUUCAGAUCUAGCUUAAGCACCCCUCAGAUUUCUUUUAUGGUUUCAGCACCAUUCUCCCUUUCUUCUGAGCACUCCUUUUCCAGUUUCAUGUUUAUUGGCCUGAUCAAUUAUUUCAUUUACACCACCGCACUUGACUGUUUCUGUUGCCUCUGGCAGGUGCUCAGUAGAAAGCUGUUAGAUACGAUAUGGAGUCUGCCAGUUAGCGCCAGAAGGCACAGAGUGAGUGGUGGGCCUAGGUGUGUCUGAGGCUGUGGAGAUCAGUCAAGUCUGAAUAAGGGCUACCAUCAGUGUCCUGGAAGGUGGGGUGGGGUGUUGGGCCUGUCACUGAGGGGUCAUCACCAGACUAAGGUAUGAGGCUUAGGGUCUAUCAGUGUCCAAAGAGGCAGAACUAGGUACAGGUAAGAGUUGCUGGAUCUUUCAUAGUCCAACAAAUAGUUUAUUACAUGUAUCAUGAAGCUUUGGGCCUCAGUCUGAGGAAAUGGGGCCUGGCACAGAUACGGGCCCUGGGUCGGUGUUUGAGAAGGUGGGCUAGGACAGAGAACGAAGUUGUGGGUCUCUGAGUAUAUGAGAAGGCCAGACCAAGGCCAGCUAGGACGUACUAGGUCUGUCUUGUGUUGGAGCAGGCAGGCCCAGGCACAGGUAAGAAGUGCUUGGUCUUUCAUUGUCCAAGGAAGUGGGCCCUGUUAUGAGAUAUGGGCCAGGGAGUCUAAAAAGGCAGGGCCCUGGUACAGGUAUGAGGCCCUGGGUCUGCCAGUGUCUGAGGAGGUGGGCAAGGCACAGGUACGAGGUUCUGAGUCUGCCAGUGUCUGAGGAGGUGAGCAAGGCACAGGUAUGAGGUUCUGGAUCUUUCUAUGUCUGAGGAGGUGGGCAAGGAACAGGUAUGAGGUUCUGAAUCUUUCUAUGUUUGAAGAGGUGGGCAAGGUACAGGUAGAAGGUCCUGGGUCUACAUGUCUGAGGAGGUGGGCAAGGCAUAGGUAUUAGGUUCCGGAUUUUUCCAUGUUUGAAGAGGUGGACAAGGUACAGGUAGAAGGUUCUGGCUCUACCAGUAUCUGAGGAGGUGGACAAGGCACAGGUAGGAGGUUCUGGGUCAUUCCUUGUCUGGAUCUUUCCAUGUUUGAGGAGGUCGGCAAGGCUCAGGUAUGAGGUUCUGGGUCUGCCAGUGUCUGAGGAUGUGGGCAGAGGACAGGUAUGGGAUUCUGGAUCUUUCCAUGUCUGAGGAUGUGGGCAAGACAGGUCUGAGGUUCUGGAUCUUUCCAUGUCUGAGAUGGUGGAGAAGACACAGGUAUGAGCCUGGGGCUGCCAGUGUCUGAGGAGAUAGACCCUGACUUGGCAGGGAAGACCAUGGUAAGGUGAUCAGUUGAGGCUUUUGGCUCUGGUCUGUCCUCUGUUUAGUCUGCCCUGUUGGUCAGGCCUGAGCGUUGCCAGUGCUUUUCCUGCUAUCUUCUUUCCAGAGGUGGGUUGGGCCAGUUUCUCCGAGCUGCACCUGAUGAAGGGCCGUGGUCUUUGAAGACAAGUUCUCUGGCAGGAGGGAGGGGGGCGGGUGUCCUGGCUCCCCCUCAGCACCUUUUUCUAUCUC